UACAGAGGUCUCAAGCGUUGUUCGGAUUCAUUGGGCGUAAAGGGUGCGUAGGUGGCGCUGUAAGUCGGGUGUGAAAUUUCGGAGCUUAACUCCGAAACUGCAUUCGAUACUGCGGUGCUUGAGGACUGGAGAGGAGACUGGAAUUCAUGGUGUAGCAGUGAAAUGCGUAGAGAUCAUGUGGAAGACCAGUGGCGAAGGCGGGUCUCUGGACAGUUCCUGACACUGAGGCACGAAGGCCAGGGGAGCAAACGGG
rnacentral:rRNA from 1 species